UACGUAGGGUGCAAGCGUUUGUCCGGAAUUAUUGGGCGUAAAGAGCUCGUAGGCGGUUUGUCGCGUCUGCUGUGAAAACGCGAGGCUCAACCUCGCGCCUGCAGUGGGUACGGGCAAACUAGAGUGCGGUAGGGGAGAUUGGAAUUCCUGGUGUAGCGGUGGAAUGCGCAGAUAUCAGGAGGAACACCGAUGGCGAAGGCAGAUCUCUGGGCCGUAACUGACGCUGAGGGGCGAAAGCGUGGGGAGCGAACAGG
rnacentral:rRNA from 1 species